AGAGUUUGAUCCUGGCUCAGGAUGAACGCUGGCGGCAUGCCUAAUACAUGCAAGUCGAACGAAGUUUCGAGGAAGCUUGCUUCCAAAGAGACUUAGUGGCGAACGGGUGAGUAACACGUAGGUAACCUGCCCAUGUGUCCGGGAUAACUGCUGGAAACGGUAGCUAAAACCGGAUAGGUAUACAGAGCGCAUGCUCAGUAUAUUAAAGCGCCCAUCAAGGCGUGAACAUGGAUGGACCUGCGGCGCAUUAGCUAGUUGGUGAGGUAACGGCCCACCAAGGCGAUGAUGCGUAGCCGGCCUGAGAGGGUAAACGGCCACAUUGGGACUGAGACACGGCCCAAACUCCUACGGGAGGCAGCAGUAGGGAAUUUUCGUCAAUGGGGGAAACCCUGAACGAGCAAUGCCGCGUGAGUGAAGAAGGUCUUCGGAUCGUAAAGCUCUGUUGUAAGUGAAGAACGGCUCAUAGAGGAAAUGCUAUGGGAGUGACGGUAGCUUACCAGAAAGCCACGGCUAACUACGUGCCAGCAGCCGCGGUAAUACGUAGGUGGCAAGCGUUAUCCGGAAUCAUUGGGCGUAAAGGGUGCGUAGGUGGCGUACUAAGUCUGUAGUAAAAGGCAAUGGCUCAACCAUUGUAAGCUAUGGAAACUGGUAUGCUGGAGUGCAGAAGAGGGCGAUGGAAUUCCAUGUGUAGCGGUAAAAUGCGUAGAUAUAUGGAGGAACACCAGUGGCGAAGGCGGUCGCCUGGUCUGUAACUGACACUGAGGCACGAAAGCGUGGGGAGCAAAUAGGAUUAGAUACCCUAGUAGUCCACGCCGUAAACGAUGAGAACUAAGUGUUGGAGGAAUUCAGUGCUGCAGUUAACGCAAUAAGUUCUCCGCCUGGGGAGUAUGCACGCAAGUGUGAAACUCAAAGGAAUUGACGGGGGCCCGCACAAGCGGUGGAGUAUGUGGUUUAA
rnacentral:rRNA from 1 species